UGCGAUCACGUCACGAAGGUACAGAGGUCGGAAAGAUUCCCAUCGAUACGCCUUGCAAGUGUUCACAUCAGUUGGAAAAUACAGUAAGUGAACA